UUAAGCGACUAAGCGUACACGGUGGAUGCCCUGGCAGUCAGAGGCGAUGAAGGACGUGCUAAUCUGCGAUAAGCGUCGGUAAGGUGAUAUGAACCGUUAUAACCGGCGAUUUCCGAAUGGGGAAACCCAGUGUGAUUCGUCACACUAUCAUUAACUGAAUCCAUAGGUUAAUGAGGCGAACCGGGGGAACUGAAACAUCUAAGUACCCCGAGGAAAAGAAAUCAACCGAGAUUCCCCCAGUAGCGGCGAGCGAACGGGGAGCAGCCCAGAGCCUGAAUCAGUGUGUGUGUUAGUGGAAGCGUCUGGAAAGGCGUGCGAUACAGGGUGACAGCCCCGUACACAAAAAUGCACAUGCUGUGAGCUCGAUGAGUAGGGCGGGACACGUGGUAUCCUGUCUGAAUAUGGGGGGACCAUCCUCCAAGGCUAAAUACUCCUGACUGACCGAUAGUGAACCAGUACCGUGAGGGAAAGGCGAAAAGAACCCCGGCGAGGGGAGUGAAAAAGAACCUGAAACCGUGUACGUACAAGCAGUGGGAGCACAGAGCAAUCUGUGUGACUGCGUACCUUUUGUAUAAUGGGUCAGCGACUUAUAUUCUGUAGCAAGGUUAACCGAAUAGGGGAGCCGAAGGGAAACCGAGUCUUAACUGGGCGUUAAGUUGCAGGGUAUAGACCCGAAACCCGGUGAUCUAGCCAUGGGCAGGUUGAAGGUUGGGUAACACUAACUGGAGGACCGAACCGACUAAUGUUGAAAAAUUAGCGGAUGACUUGUGGCUGGGGGUGAAAGGCCAAUCAAACCGGGAGAUAGCUGGUUCUCCCCGAAAGCUAUUUAGGUAGCGCCUCGUGAAUUCAUCUCCGGGGGUAGAGCACUGUUUCGGCAAGGGGGUCAUCCCGACUUACCAACCCGAUGCAAACUGCGAAUACCGGAGAAUGUUAUCACGGGAGACACACGGCGGGUGCUAACGUCCGUCGUGAAGAGGGAAACAACCCAGACCGCCAGCUAAGGUCCCAAAGUCAUGGUUAAGUGGGAAACGAUGUGGGAAGGCCCAGACAGCCAGGAUGUUGGCUUAGAAGCAGCCAUCAUUUAAAGAAAGCGUAAUAGCUCACUGGUCGAGUCGGCCUGCGCGGAAGAUGUAACGGGGCUAAACCAUGCACCGAAGCUGCGGCAGCGACACUAUGUGUUGUUGGGUAGGGGAGCGUUCUGUAAGCCUGCGAAGGUGUGCUGUGAGGCAUGCUGGAGGUAUCAGAAGUGCGAAUGCUGACAUAAGUAACGAUAAAGCGGGUGAAAAGCCCGCUCGCCGGAAGACCAAGGGUUCCUGUCCAACGUUAAUCGGGGCAGGGUGAGUCGACCCCUAAGGCGAGGCCGAAAGGCGUAGUCGAUGGGAAACAGGUUAAUAUUCCUGUACUUGGUGUUACUGCGAAGGGGGGACGGAGAAGGCUAUGUUGGCCGGGCGACGGUUGUCCCGGUUUAAGCGUGUAGGCUGGUUUUCCAGGCAAAUCCGGAAAAUCAAGGCUGAGGCGUGAUGACGAGGCACUACGGUGCUGAAGCAACAAAUGCCCUGCUUCCAGGAAAAGCCUCUAAGCAUCAGGUAACAUCAAAUCGUACCCCAAACCGACACAGGUGGUCAGGUAGAGAAUACCAAGGCGCUUGAGAGAACUCGGGUGAAGGAACUAGGCAAAAUGGUGCCGUAACUUCGGGAGAAGGCACGCUGAUAUGUAGGUGAAGCGACUUGCUCGUGGAGCUGAAAUCAGUCGAAGAUACCAGCUGGCUGCAACUGUUUAUUAAAAACACAGCACUGUGCAAACACGAAAGUGGACGUAUACGGUGUGACGCCUGCCCGGUGCCGGAAGGUUAAUUGAUGGGGUCAGCGCAAGCGAAGCUCUUGAUCGAAGCCCCGGUAAACGGCGGCCGUAACUAUAACGGUCCUAAGGUAGCGAAAUUCCUUGUCGGGUAAGUUCCGACCUGCACGAAUGGCGUAAUGAUGGCCAGGCUGUCUCCACCCGAGACUCAGUGAAAUUGAACUCGCUGUGAAGAUGCAGUGUACCCGCGGCAAGACGGAAAGACCCCGUGAACCUUUACUAUAGCUUGACACUGAACAUUGAGCCUUGAUGUGUAGGAUAGGUGGGAGGCUUUGAAGUGUGGACGCCAGUCUGCAUGGAGCCGACCUUGAAAUACCACCCUUUAAUGUUUGAUGUUCUAACGUUGACCCGUAAUCCGGGUUGCGGACAGUGUCUGGUGGGUAGUUUGACUGGGGCGGUCUCCUCCUAAAGAGUAACGGAGGAGCACGAAGGUUGGCUAAUCCUGGUCGGACAUCAGGAGGUUAGUGCAAUGGCAUAAGCCAGCUUGACUGCGAGCGUGACGGCGCGAGCAGGUGCGAAAGCAGGUCAUAGUGAUCCGGUGGUUCUGAAUGGAAGGGCCAUCGCUCAACGGAUAAAAGGUACUCCGGGGAUAACAGGCUGAUACCGCCCAAGAGUUCAUAUCGACGGCGGUGUUUGGCACCUCGAUGUCGGCUCAUCACAUCCUGGGGCUGAAGUAGGUCCCAAGGGUAUGGCUGUUCGCCAUUUAAAGUGGUACGCGAGCUGGGUUUAGAACGUCGUGAGACAGUUCGGUCCCUAUCUGCCGUGGGCGCUGGAGAACUGAGGGGGGCUGCUCCUAGUACGAGAGGACCGGAGUGGACGCAUCACUGGUGUUCGGGUUGUCAUGCCAAUGGCACUGCCCGGUAGCUAAAUGCGGAAGAGAUAAGUGCUGAAAGCAUCUAAGCACGAAACUUGCCCCGAGAUGAGUUCUCCCUGACUCCUUGAGAGUCCUGAAGGAACGUUGAAGACGACGACGUUGAUAGGCCGGGUGUGUAAGCGCAGCGAUGCGUUGAGCUAACCGGUACUAAUGAACCGUGAGGCUUAACCU
rnacentral:rRNA from 1 species